rnacentral:tRNA from 1 species
GGGAGAGCGUGGCCGGCUGGUGCCGCCCCGGGACUUCAAAUCCCGUGGAGGGUCGCUCCGGCGAUCCUCGGAGGGUUCGAUUCCCUUGCUCUCCC